rnacentral:misc_RNA from 1 species
AGCAGCCGCGGUAAUUCCAGCUCCAAUAGCGUAUAUUAAAGUUGCUGCAGUUAAAAGCUCGUAGUUGAAUUUCGGGACUAAUAUGUCGGUCGUGCCUCGGUACGUACUGGUUUAUUGGUUUCUCCUUUCUGAAGAACCAUGAUGUCAUUUAUUUGGUGUCGUGGGGAAUCAGGACUGUUACUUUGAAAAAUUAGAGUGUUUAAAGCAGGCUCACGCUUGAAUACAUUAGUAUGGAAUAAUGAAAUAGGACGUUUGAUUCUAUUUUGUUGGUUUCUAGGAUCGACGUAAUGAUUAAUAGGGAUAGUUGGGGGCAUUAGUAUUCAAUUGUCAGAGGUGAAAUUCUUGGAUUUAUUGAAGACUAACUACUGCGAAAGCAUUUGCCAAGGAUGUUUUCAUUAAUCAAGAACGAAAGUUAGGGAUCGAAGACGAUCAGAUACCGUCGUAGUCUUAACCAUAAACUAUGCCGACUAGGGAUCGGAUGAUGUUAAUUUUUUAAUGUACUCAUUCGGCGCCUUAACC